UGACAAAAGAGAAGCUUAUAAAAGCAGCCUAUUGGGUUUCAAUUUCAUUAAGUUUGGCUUCAUGAAAUUCAAAACCACCUGCGUACACUUUAAAAUACUCCUAAUAACCUUUUCGAUUCAGAUGGAGAACUGCAAAAAGGCGGAUUCUGUCUGAUUUUACUUUGCUUAAGAACAGCUAGGCAAUUCCACACCCCCACACACACAGAGGCGGUCACUAGUCAGGCUCCAUGUCUGACUCACAGCUUAUUCUCUUUCUUCUUCCUUCAAUUUUAUCUCUACUUCUUUUCUUCAUUCUCACUCGAAGAAAGCAAGCCAGAUUCAAUCUCCCUCCAGGCAACAUGGGUUGGCCAUUUAUUGGAGAAACCUUUGCCUACUUGAAGCAUUACUCUGCUACUUCAACUGGAGAAUUCAUGGAACACCACAUCGCAAGGUUUGGGAAGAUAUACAAGUCCCAUUUGUUUGGGGAGCCAACAAUAGUCUCUGCAGAUGCUGGACUUAAUAGAUUUAUAUUACAGAAUGAAGGGAGGUUAUUUGAAUGCAGCUAUCCAAGAAGUAUAGGUGGAAUUCUUGGAAAGUGGUCUAUGCUGGUUCUAGUUGGAGACAUGCAUAGAGACAUGAGGAUUAUAUCUCUCAAUUUUCUGAGCCAUGCCAGGCUCAGAACUCAUCUAUUGAGAGAUGUGGAGAAACAUACCUUGCUUGUUCUUAACUCUUGGAGGGAGAAUUUUAUAUUUUCAGCUCAAGAUGAGGCAAAGAAGUUCACCUUCAAUUUGAUGGCGAAACAUAUCAUGAGCAUGGAUCCUGGAAAGCCAGAGACUGAGCAGCUGAAGAAAGAGUAUGUUACUUUUAUGAAAGGAGUGGUAUCUGCCCCCUUAAAUUUGCCUGGAACUGCAUACAGGAAGGCCUUACAGUCUCGAUCAAUCAUCCUGAAGUUUAUAGAGCAAAAAAUGAAGGAGAGAAAUGGGAAAAUAAAGGGAGGAGUAGAAAAUUUGGAGGAAGAUGAUCUUCUUGGAUGGGUUUUGGAGCAUUCCAAUCUUUCUACUGAGCAAAUCCUCGACUUAAUAUUGAGCUUGCUCUUUGCUGGCCAUGAAACGUCCUCAGUAGCCAUAGCUUUAUCUAUCUACUUCUUGCAAUCUUGUCCAAGUGCUUUUCAACAGUUACGGGUGAGCAUCUUAUAUAUACUACCACUAAUAGUUUUUACCGAAAAUACUAGCCUUGAAAUAUUGUUGUAUUUGUUCUUUUUCUUUGAUCGUAAAUAGGAAGAACACCUGGAAAUUGCCAGAACCAAGAAGCAAUCAGCAGAGAAGGGCUUGAACUGGGAUGAUUACAAGAAAAUGGAAUUCACUCAAUGUGUAAUUAAAGCAUUCUUGAUGAUCUUCUUCUUUAUUCUCCAUGCCAAAAACUUCUGAAAGAAAUAAUAAAUCAAUGUUUUUCUAUGUGAAGGUUAUCAGUGAGACGUUAAGGCUUGGAAACGUAGUGAGGUUCCUGCACAGGAAAGCUCUGAAAGAUGUUCGAUAUAAAGGUAAAGAAAGAGAUUAGAACGGUGAUUAAAUAUUCUUAAUGCGGUGAAACAAAUCAAGAUUUCUGGGUCUCUGGGUUUAACUAAUUCGCGUAUAUAUAACUCUGAAAGGGUUUGACAUUCCACGUGGAUGGAAAGUGCUUCCAGUAAUUGCAGCCGUGCAUUUGGAUUCUAGUCUUUUUGACCAUCCUCAACAUUUCAAUCCAUGGAGAUGGCUGCAGGUCGGUAAGCUUUCGGAGUUAGGACAGACAUGCCUUCCUUAACUCAUCAUUAUUAUAUAUAAUUGUGCCCUUUUUUAUUUAUUAUUUAUUAAUUAUUAUUAGCAUUAUUUUAUUUAUUCAAGCUAAUAUACAUAUACAUUAAGAAGGGCCUCAAAUUUUCCAAUGGCUGGAUCUCAACUCAUGGGUCCCGUUGCAGGCAACUAGUAGCUGUGUUUUUCAUUGCUGUGUGUGGACCGCAUGAUUAAUUAGUAUAUUUUUCUCCAUUCUAAAACAUUUCCAUAGUUGGAGCUAUAAUUCAUUAGUGUCAUGCGUGUUUGUAUUUCAAUUAUUCACUAACAUUAAAUCAUUUCUUUUAAUUUUUAAUAUUAUAAAUCUUUUAGAAGAAGAAUAAUCAUAAGUAAAAUGCUUUACCUACUACAUAAUCAGUAUUUCCAAGAUAAUCAGUUCAUUUAUUACAAAUCAGUGUAAUUGAUUACUAUAUUAUUGCAAACCUUUAGUAUUUAAAUUUUAUUUUUAGAGCAGUGGCCUUA
rnacentral:misc_RNA from 1 species